rnacentral:tRNA from 1 species
ACGGACAUAGUUUAAUGGUAGAACUUCGGUCUCCAAAACCGAAAGUGAAUGUUCAAUUCGUUCUGUCCGUG